AGUGAACGCUGGCGGUAGGCCUAACACAUGCAAGUCGAACGGCAGCACAGUAAGAGCUUGCUCUUACGGGUGGCGAGUGGCGGACGGGUGAGGAAUACAUCGGAAUCUACUUUUUCGUGGGGGAUAACGUAGGGAAACUUACGCUAAUACCGCAUACGACCUACGGGUGAAAGCAGGGGAUCUUCGGACCUUGCGCGAUUGAAUGAGCCGAUGUCGGAUUAGCUAGUUGGCGGGGUAAAGGCCCACCAAGGGGACGAUCCGUAGCUGGUCUGAGAGGAUGAUCAGCCACACUGGAACUGAGACACGGUCCAGACUCCUACGGGAGGCAGCAGUGGGGAAUAUUGGACAAUGGGCGCAAGCCUGAUCCAGACAUACCGCGUGGGUGAAGAAGGCCUUCGGGUUGUAAAGCCCUUUUGUUGGGAAAGAAAAGCAGCAGGUUAAUACCCCGCUGUUCUGACGGUACCCAAAGAAUAAGCACCGGCUAACUUCGUG
rnacentral:rRNA from 1 species